GCACAGCAUGACCCGUCUGGCCAAAGCGCCAGAUAUGCAGCCCAGCACAGCACAAGGUCACACGGGCAGGAAGUAGAAGAAACAAGACUGGAGCCAAACCAGUCAACUUAUUGAUGUUACAGGGAUUCAGAAAAUGGUGAACUCUCACACAUGUCCUUCACGUGGGACAGCAGUAUUCCGUGUCUGCCAUGGAGAGAAGUCCCAGUGUCAGCACAGAAAACCAUGGGCCAGCACAUCAAAUCCCGGGAUGGCCGACAGAAAUCAGCUCUGCGAGGGAAGAGCAGACAUCUUGCAGAGGAGUUCCCCUGGGGCAAAAUUAGUCUCUGCGAUAUUUUCAUUAUAAUCCAGAUGUCUUAGCAUAGCUAGCGAAAACAUCAUGUUCCUUCACCUUUAAACCUGAAUGCAAUGCCUGCCAUGUCUGUAAAGAAAAGGAAGAGGGAGGGAAAGUGAGGAAGAGGGCACUGAGAGUGAGAAUAGCCCAUUAUUUUGUCCUGGGAGUUUGUAGAAUCUAUGGUCUCCCUAAUGUACUCUUUAAAGUACUUUUUCUUUAUUUUUAGCUUUAAGAUGAUUGAGUAUAAAAGCUCUUCCAGAGGGCAGGAAGCAAACUACGGUCCAGUCCCCAACUUAUUUAUUCCAAAGGGGCAUCAAAAAGUCAGUCAUUUUGUUUCUGUGAUUUUUUUUUCUCACGAAAACAAUAUCAUAGGUAGCUCAGUCCUGCUGGCCACUGGACCAGCACUGCUCAGUCUCCCUGAGGGACUGGUCAUGGCCCCAGUCCCCGGAUCCUCAGCAGGUGGGUGAACCUUAGCAGGUGCAACCUUCCCUCGUGGUACCGCUUUGAAAUUCUUAAUCACCUAACCUUUGGUUUGGUUUUGUAGGUAAAGUGUGUUGGAACAAGGGAGCAUGCACUGGGCCUUGCCACCUGCAGUUCUGCCUCCUGCCGCGUGGGAUGGGAUCUGUGCCUCCUUCCCCAUGCCCCGCCCCAGCCCCGCCCCUUGCCCACAGCUGCCCUCCGCCCCUGGCAGGGCCUGUCCACAGAUGCAGGAGGAUGGGAUGGGCGCACACCCCACAGGGUUUCUCUGCCCUGCACGGGCAGCGCCACGGUGUGCUUGGAGGGUGACUGAGCUGGAGCAAGCCUCCUUUCACAGUGACUCACUCUCCAUUCAGUGUAAAUAUGACCUCAUCCAAGAUACAACCUAAUUAACAAAACAUGUUUUAAGUUAUUUUGGGAUGGUGUGAUUGCUCUAAAAAUCCCUUUGAUCUGUGGGUUUAUGUUUAUGACAGUUCUUUAAAGUGCGAAACGCUUGAAACGUCAACAUUAAUAUUCUCUGAAAAAGUAGAGUAAAUGAAUGUGGAUGCAA